rnacentral:rRNA from 1 species
CCUACGGGCUGCACCAGUGAGGAAUAUUGCACAAUGGGCGCAAGCCUGAUGCAGCCAUGCCGCGUGUGUGAAGAAGGCCUUCGGGUUGUAAAGCACUUUCAGCGGGGAGGAAGGCGAUAAGGUUAAUAACCUUGUCGAUUGACGUUACCCGCAGAAGAAGCACCGGCUAACUCCGUGCCAGCAGCCGCGGUAAUACGGAGGGUGCAAGCGUUAAUCGGAAUUACUGGGCGUAAAGCGCACGCAGGCGGUCUGUCAAGUCGGAUGUGAAAUCCCCGGGCUUAACCUGGGAACUGCAUUCGAAACUGGCGGGCUAGAGUCUUGUAGAGGGGGGUAGAAUUCCAGGUGAAGCGGUGAAAUGCGUAGAGAUCUGGAGGAAUACCGGUGGCGAAGGCGGCCCCCUGGACAAAGACUGGCGCUCAGGUGCGAUAGCAUGGGGAGCAAACAGGAUUAGAUACCCGUGUAGUC